UGAACGGUAAAGAGCUCGAU
rnacentral:siRNA from 1 species